rnacentral:rRNA from 1 species
AUUGAACGCUGGCGGCAGGCCUAACACAUGCAAGUCGAGCGAGCGGCGGACGGGUGAGUAAUGUGUGGGGACUGCCCGAUAGAGGGGGAUAACUACUGGAAACGGUAGCUAAUACCGCAUACUAUCGGAUGACCCAUAUGGCAUUAGCUAGUGGGUGAGGUAAUGGCUCACCUAGGCGACGAUCCCUAGCUGGUCUGAGAGGAUGAUCAGCCACACUGGAAUUGAGACACGGCCCAGCCUCUUACGGGGGCAGCAGUGGGGAAUAUUGCACAAGGGGCGCAAGCCUGAUGCAGCCAUCCGGGGUGUAUGAUGAAGGCCUUCGGGUUGUAAAGUACGUUUGGCAGAGAAGCGGUAUCUGCAGAAUAAGCACCGGCUAACUACGUGCCAGCCGCCGCGGUAAUAC